rnacentral:antisense_RNA from 1 species
UUCUAUGGCGGGCCGUGCGGGGGUCUCUUCGGAGACGCCGGGUCCUUGUAGCCGGUACGCCAACUCCGCAUCGGUCUGCCACCCUC